GUGGGGAAUCUUGCGCAAUUGGCGAAAGCCUGACGCAGCCAUGCCGCGUGAAUGAUGAAGGUCUUAGGAUUGUAAAAUUCUUUCACCGGGGACGAUAAUGACGGUACCCGGAGAAGAAGCCCCGGCUAACUUCGUGCCAGCAGCCGCGGUAAUACGAAGGGGGCUAGCGUUGCUCGGAAUUACUGGGCGUAAAGGGCGCGUAGGCGGACAGUUUAGUCAGAGGUGAAAGCCCAGGGCUCAACCUUGGAAUUGCCUUUGAUACUGGCUGUCUUGAGUACGGGAGAGGUGAGUGGAACUCCGAGUGUAGAGGUGAAAUUCGUAGAUAUUCGGAAGAACACCAGUGGCGAAGGCGACUCACUGGCCCGUUACUGACGCUGAGGCGCGAAAGCGUGGGGAGCAAACAGGAUUAGAUACCCGUGUAGUCC
rnacentral:rRNA from 1 species